rnacentral:lncRNA from 1 species
UUUUUUUUUUUUUUUUUUUUUUUUUUUUGGUGUUUUUAGGGCUGCACCCAUGGCAUAUGGAAGUUCCUAGGCUAGGGGUUGAAUUGUAGCCGUAGCUGCUGGCCUAUGCCACAGCCAUGGUGACAACAGAUCUGAGCCACGUUUGCUACCUACCCCACAGCUCAUGGCAACACCGGAUCCUUAACCACUGAGCGAGGCCAGGGAUCAAACCCGCAACCUCAUGGUUACUAGUCGGAUUCAUUUCUGCUGCACCAUGACAGGAACUCCAAGAAAUCCUAAAUAUUGACAAGAAAAGAAGCUAACAUCCUAGUAGAACCAUGGACAAAUGAUAUGAAGGAACAGUUCCCAGAAUAAGAAAUACAAAUGAGUCUUGAACAUUAAAAAGAAACCUCAACCUCCUUCAUAAUUUAGGAAAAGCAAAUAAAAAAAUAAAAACUCCAAUGAGAGACAAGUUUUCACCUACCAGACUGGCCAAGGUCAGAAAGUUUGAGAACACAUUAUUGUCUAUUGCGCAUUUCUAAGGGAUCAGGAAACAGAUGCUCUGGUGCCGUGUAGAUGGUGAGAGUUCUUCAGAGGACAAGUGGACCACACAGUAUGCCCUGUGGCCCACUUCUAGGAAUUGGUCCUACAGAUACACUUACACAUGUGCCAAUGAAGACUGUUCAGGCUUAUAUUUGUUGUCACGUUGUUUGUACUGGGAAAGUAUUGGAAAUAACCAUUGUAGGGCUGGUUAAAAUUCUGGCACAUCCCUAUAGUGAAAAAUUGUUGUUAAAAGAAUGAAGUAACAUUAUGAAUAUUUAUGAAAGGGUCUCCAAGAUGUAGCUUAUCUGAAAAAAAGCAAGUUGCAGGGCAGUGUGUAUUUUAUGCUCAUUAUAUUUAAAAAAAACCCCAACAACCCACAUACAUAGGUACUUGUACUAUGUGCAGAUGCGUCCCAGGAAUCUGGGAAUGAUGGUUGGUCUCUUGAAAAGUGAAGCCAGGUGGUUGGAAAACAGAAAGAUAAAUUUUCUUUUUUUUUCGUCUUUUGUCUUUUUAGGGCCGUACCCGCGGCAUAUGGAAGUUCCCAGGCUAUGGAUGGAAUCGGAGCCUGUAUCUGCUGGCCUACACCACAGCCACAGCAAUUCCAGAUCCAAGCCGCAUCUGCAACGUACACCACAGGUCAUGGCAAUGCCAGAUCCUUAACCCACUGAGUGAGGCCAGGGAUCAAACCCAAAACCUCAUGGUUCCUAGUCGGGUUCAUUAACCUCCCGAGAAGGAUGAAUUUUCAUUCAAAACUCCUUUAUAUCUUUCAAGGUUUGCUUCAUGAACAUGUAUGACCUCUUCAAAUAGUAAAUUAAGAACAGUGUACGUUAAUUUAGUAUUCUGCUCCAUGGUACAUCCACAAUUGAUUUAAUGUAAAAAUAAUGUUUUAAAUUCCUUACCUUACAGUAAUUAACUUUCCCUCCCAUAUCUUUGAGUGAAAUUAAAAUUCUAGAAAGACACAGCGCAUUUAUCCUGGGACUUUGUCUCCUGGGCACAAUAGCAAGUAUCUCCUUUCUGAAGAGAACAGCUUUGCAGAGUGUUUGGCACAUCAAGUAGCUGCCCUAGAAAUGCGAUUUCCUGUCUCUGUGGGAACAGAAUUGUUCUGGGAGAGGGGCCGGAGGGAACCUUCACUCCACUGGCAAGGCCAAGAAGCUGACGGGUGUCUUACGUCCUGAGCAGGGCCUUGGGAGACAUGAAAUCCAAGGUCAUAGGGGUUCACAUUCUUCAGCCCAGUCCAGUAUUGGCACAUAGUAAGUCCUCAAAAAAAUACGUUUUUGGAAUGAAUGAACAUACAAAGAGUUACAGAUCUGGCCUGAGGGAGUGACAAAUGCUUUUGGGACGCUUUGGGGAAGUCCCAUAAAUAGAUGACAUUUAACCUGGGGUUUUUAGAUGGAAUCCCUCACCUAGAGGACAAGGGGGAAAAAGUUCAUGUGGAGAGACCAGCUUAUCUUUGGGUAUAAGAGUGGAGGGAGAGGGGCUCACAGAGCAUCUAUGCACCCCUGCCUGGGGCAGCCGUCAGAUGUGGUCAGAUACCGCUGGGGCCUCAUGUGUGUUGGCGGCCACCUGACAAAAUUAAAUCGUAAAGGUCCAGGAGCUAUUGACAGAAAAGAAAAUAACCAGGUCACAUACACUUGGUCCCCAAUGAGGGUUUGGGAAGGAAGGACUUCAAGUGGAACCCGCCCCUCCAAAGACCGACUGUGAGAUGUGAGUGGAGCCAAGCUCAAAGACUCAGAUCCAGUGCCUCAUUCUUUUUUUUUUUUUUUGUCUUUUGUCUUUUUAGGGCCACACUUGAGGCACAUAGAGGUUCCCAGGCUAGGUGUCCAAUCAGAGCUGUAGCCAGCCGUCCUAUGCCACAGCCACAGCAAGGCCAGAUCCUAGCCUUGCCUGUGACCUACACCACAGCUCAUGGCAACACCAGAUCCUUAACCCACUGAGCAAGGCCAGGGAUUGAACCCCUAACCUCAUGGUUCCUAGUUGGAUUUGCUUCCACUGCGCCAUGAUGGGAACUCUCAGUGCCUCAUUCUUAAACUGCCCCCUUCAUUGUAUCAUCUCUAAGUAAGAGCCACAGAUAGAGGGCCACUGUUGUCGUCACUUAUCCAGAAUCCAAAAUGCUUUGAAAAUCUGAAGGUGAUUUUUAAAUUUUGUCAUCAAAACCUGCCUUGAGCUGAUCUGAAGCUAUACUUAGACUUAAUUCAUCCCCCUCUAUGUCUGUUUAUAUGCUCUGCUAUCGAAAUAUGUGUGCUUGUUAAGAUGCUGCCCUAGGCCUCACUGAGGGGUUAUAUAACAUGUUGUAGGUGCACCAUAGUGCUUUUAUAAAAUCUGGAAAAUUCUCAGUUCUGAAACACAUGUGGCCACAAGAGUUCCACAUGAGGAUUUGUGGUCUAACGUAAUCAACCAAUACACAUAAAUUUUAAAAAUAAAAGUAAUAUUAUGCCCUGGGUGGGAAAGAAGAAAUAAAAAUAGAAAUUUACAAAAAUAGAAUGUAUGCAUCAAUAUAUAAAUUCUGAGGCAGGACUGCACCAGAAGGCUUAACUCAGGGUCAGGGGUGGUGGACGUAGGUCCCUCCUGUGGGGUGUAAGUUCCCCAAAAGUAGCCUCUUGUUGCAUGUGGCGAUUCAAAGGCAACUGAUAAAGUUGUGUAUACUUUUUUUGGAACUCAAAUGCUAGGAGUGACAUUGCCGUGAUUUUCCAAAGUAAUGAAUAACUCUAGGUAAAUUUCC